rnacentral:rRNA from 1 species
CCACGAACCGGACAAACGUUAUUCGGAAUUAUUGGGCUUAAAGGGUGUGUAGGCGGUCAUGUAGGUGGGGUGUGAAAUCCCUCGGCUCAACCGAGGAACUGCGCCCCAAACCACAUCGCUAGAGGGAGACAGAGGUAAGCGGAACUGAUGGUGGAGCGGUGAAAUGCGUUGAUAUCAUCAGGAACACCAGUGGCGAAAGCGGCUUACUGGGUCUCUUCUGACGCUGAGGCACGAAAGCUAGGGUAGCGAACGGGAUUAGAAACCCUAGUAGUCC